UUGCUGGGGGAUUAGUGGCGAACGGGUGAGUAACACGUGAGUAACCUGCCCUUGACUCUGGGAUAAGCCUGGGAAACUGGGUCUAAUACCGGAUAUGACCAUCUGACGCAUGUCAUGGUGGUGGAAAGCUUUUGUGGUUUUGGAUGGACUCGCGGCCUAUCAGCUUGUUGGUGGGGUAAUGGCCUACCAAGGCGACGACGGGUAGCCGGCCUGAGAGGGUGACCGGCCACACUGGGACUGAGACACGGCCCAGACUCCUACGGGAGGCAGCAGUGGGGAAUAUUGCACAAUGGGCGGAAGCCUGAUGCAGCGACGCCGCGUGAGGGAUGACGGCCUUCGGGUUGUAAACCUCUUUCAGUAGGGAAGAAGCGAAAGUGACGGUACCUGCAGAAGAAGCGCCGGCUAACUACGUGCCAGCAGCCGCGGUAAUACGUAGGGCGCAAGCGUUAUCCGGAAUUAUUGGGCGUAAAGAGCUCGUAGGCGGUUUGUCGCGUCUGCUGUGAAAGACCGGGGCUCAACUCCGGUUCUGCAGUGGGUACGGGCAGACUAGAGUGCAGUAGGGGAGACUGGAAUUCCUGGUGUAGCGGUGAAAUGCGCAGAUAUCAGGAGGAACACCGAUGGCGAAGGCAGGUCUCUGGGCUGUAACUGACGCUGAGGAGCGAAAGCAUGGGGAGCGAACAGGAUUAGAUACCCGUGGUAGUCCAUGCCGUAAACGUUGGGCACUAGGUGUGGGGGACAUUCCACGUUUUCCGCGCCGUAGCUAACGCAUUAAGUGCCCCGCCUGGGGAGUACGGCCGCAAGGCUAAAACUCAAAGGAAUUGACGGGGGCCCGCACAAGCGGCGGAGCAUGCGGAUUAAUUCGAUGCAACGCGAAGAACCUUACCAAGGCUUGACAUGAACCGGAAAGACCUGGAAACAGGUGCCCCGCUUGCGGUCGGUUUACAGGUGGUGCAUGGUUGUCGUCAGCUCGUGUCGUGAGAUGUUGGGUUAAGUCCCGCAACGAGCGCAACCCUCGUUCUAUGUUGCCAGCGCGUUAUGGCGGGGACUCAUAGGAGACUGCCGGGGUCAACUCGGAGGAAGGUGGGGACGACGUCAAAUCAUCAUGCCCCUUAUGUCUUGGGCUUCACGCAUGCUACAAUGGCCGGUACAAAGGGUUGCGAUACUGUGAGGUGGAGCUAAUCCCAAAAAGCCGGUCUCAGUUCGGAUUGGGGUCUGCAACUCGACCCCAUGAAGUCGGAGUCGCUAGUAAUCGCAGAUCAGCAACGCUGCGGUGAAUACGUUCCCGGGCCUUGUACACACCGCCCGUCAAGUCACGAAAGUUGGUAACACUCCGAAG
rnacentral:rRNA from 1 species